UGGCGGACGGGUGAGUAACGCGUGAGAAUCUGGCUUCAGGUCUGGGACAACCACUGGAAACGGUGGCUAAUACCGGAUGUGCCCUGCGGGGUGAAAGGUUAACUGCCUGAAGAUGAGCUCGCGUCUGAUUAGCUAGUAGGUGUGGUAAAGGCGCACCUAGGCGACGAUCAGUAGCUGGUCUGAGAGGACGAUCAGCCACACUGGGACUGAGACACGGCCCAGACUCCUACGGGAGGCAGCAGUGGGGAAUUUUCCGCAAUGGGCGAAAGCCUGACGGAGCAAUACCGCGUGAGGGAGGAAGGCUCUUGGGUCGUAAACCUCUUUUCUCAGGGAAGAACACAAUGACGGUACCUGAGGAAUAAGCAUCGGCUAACUCCGUGCCAGCAGCCGCGGUAAUACGGAGGAUGCAAGCGUUAUCCGGAAUGAUUGGGCGUAAAGCGUCCGCAGGUGGCGAUGUAAGUCUGCUGUUAAAGAGUGAGGCUCAACCUCAUAAGAGCAGUGGAAAC
rnacentral:rRNA from 1 species